GCCGUAAACGAUGAGUGCUAUGAGUUAGGGGGUUUCCGCCCCUUAGAGCUCCAGCUAACGCAUUAAGCACUCCGCCUGGGGAGUACGACCGCAAGGUUGAAACUCAAAGGAAUUGACGGGGACCCGCUCAAGCGGUGGAGAAUGAGGUUUAAUUCGAUGCAACGAGCAGAACCUUACCAAAUAUUGACGUCCUUUGGCAACUCUAGAGAUAGAGACUUCCC
rnacentral:rRNA from 1 species